GGAGGGGGGGGGGUGUUAAGGCUACGAGUAGAAGAGGGCCGCGAAAAAUUUACAAAAUAUUCCGCCCCCCCCCGUCGUAAUAAUGACUGCUCCCUAACAUUAAAGUGUUCAGACGUUUGUAACUUUACUUUCAAUUAGUAUUCUUAGGCCACCAGAUUCUGCAACGUUUGUAACUUUACUCUCACGUUGCAUUGGGCCACCAGGUUCUGCGAAGAGUGUUCGGUCUUCGUGAAAUAUUUUCUGGAGGUACAAAAAACAGAUUCCAUAGACAAAUAGCAGCCUUAUCCCGAGGAAAAUCUUCGACAUGUUAAUCAUGAGUGUACCAUGGAUAUCGCCAUGUAUGACCGCGACAGGAAACAAUGCUAGGGUGGCGUCCAGGGUUAUUGCGCUGGCAAAUGCAAAACAUUCCAGACAAUGAG